rnacentral:lncRNA from 1 species
GCACAAGAGGCCUUUGCAUGAGGGGUUCUGUUACACAAAGAUCCUUUACAUGAGGGUUCGUGUUGCACGAGGGUCUCUUGCACGAGGGUUUCUCUCCCACGAGGGUGCCUUGCAUGUGGGUUUCUGUUACACGAGGGUCUUUUACACGAGGGUUUCUCUUGCAUGAGAGUUUCUCUUGCACAAGAGGCCUUUGCAUGAGGGUCCUUUCCACAAGGCUUUGUGUUACACGAGGGUCUUUUGCACAAGGGUUUCUCUCACACGAGGGUCCUUUACACGAGGAUUUCUCUUGUACGAGAGGCCUUUGCACGAGGGGUUCUGUUACACGAGGACCUUUCGCACGAGGACUCCCCUCGCACGGGGGGGCUCGGGGGGGGGUUCCCCACCCCCAACCCCCCUCUAACCGCCCCCCUCCUCCUUUUUCCCCCCCCCCCACCCCCAGGUCCCCUCCGUCAGACCUUCCCCCAGAACCCCCUCACCCCCCCGGGGGGGCCCCCCCCCGCCCCCCCCUCCUCCCCCUCCAAGCGCCCCUGGAAGGACACCCUGGGCUGAGGCACCGCAAUAAACGACGCCCCCCACCCCUUAUUUCCCGCCUCUUCCGUUUUCAUUUUGGGGGGGAAAUGGCGCUAAAAAGGGCGUUUUGGGGGCCAAGAUGGCGGCGCCCGCGGGGCGGGGGGUGCCGUACAACAUGGCGGCGGGCGUAUCAACAUGGCGGCAGUGCCGUACAACAUGGCGGCGCUUCCGGAACAACAUGGCGGCGCUUCCGGAAGAGGAUGGCGGCUGUUCCGUACAACAUGGCGGCGCUAUAGAUCAUGGCGGCGCCUGUAACAACAUGGCGGCGGUGCCGUACAACAUGGCGGCGCUUCCGGAACAGCAUGGCGGCGCUUCCGGAAGAACAUGGCGGCGGCGGUUCCGUACAGCAUGGCGCUUCCGGAAGAACAUGGCGGCGCUUCCGGAAGAACAUGGCGGCGGCGCUGCCGUACAACAUAGCGGCGCUUCCGGAACAACAUGGCGGCGCUUCCGGAAGAGGAUGG